rnacentral:lncRNA from 1 species
CAUAGUCACAGUGCUCGUCAAUGCUCGUCAUGGCUGCACAUUUCCCCAAAGAGGUCUUCAGAACAUUCAGAAACCCAUUUUUACUGAGGAUGCACCAGGGCGAGCAUUUCUGAGAGGUGAUUACAUGGAUCCGGAGCCUGCUGAGCAUCCAGGAGAAGGAAUUUGAGAAGUUUAAAUUAGCAUUUGUAAUGAUGGGCCGACUCCAGUAUAAAUGAAGACGAGUAUGAAGUAAAUUUGAAAGACUUUGAGCCACAGCCUGGUAACAUGUCUCAUCCUCAGCCUUGGAUAGGGCUCAACCACUUCAACACAGUCCCAAAGAGGAGUAGCUACACUUACCUUGCACAGGCUAUUAAAAUCCAUAACU